rnacentral:rRNA from 1 species
GAUGAACGCUGGCGGCGUGCUUAACACAUGCAAGUCGAGCGCAGGAAAUCAUCCGAACCCUUCGGGGGGACGUUGAUGGAAUGAGCGGCGGACGGGUGAGUAACACGUAAAGAACCUGCCCUCAGGUCUGGGAUAACCACGAGGAAUCGGGGCUAAUACCGGAUGGGUCAUCGGACCGCACGGUCCGAGGAUGAAAGGCGCUUCGGCGUCGCCUGGGGAUGGCUUUGCGGUGCAUUAGCUAGUUGGUGGGGUAAUGGCCCACCAAGGCGACGAUGCAAAGCCGACCUGAGAGGGUGGUCGGCCACACUGGGACUGAGACACGGCCCAGACUCCUACGGGAGGCAGCAGUAGGGAAUCUUCCACAAUGGACGAAAGUCUGAUGGAGCAACGCCGCGUGAACGAUGAAGGCCUUCGGGUCGUAAAGUUCUGUUGUAAGGGAAGAACAAGUGCCGCAGGCAAUGGCGGCACCUUGACGGUACCUUGCGAGAAAGCCACGGCUAACUACGUGCCAGCCGCCGCGGUAAGAC